UGGGGAAUAUUGGACAAUGGGCGCAAGCCUGAUCCAGCCAUGCCGCGUGAGUGAUGAAGGCCCUAGGGUUGUAAAGCUCUUUCACCGGUGAAGAUAAUGACGGUACCCUGUGAGGAAGCCCCGGCUAACUACGUGCCAGCAGCCGCGGUAAUACGUAGGGGGCUAGCGUUAUCCGGAUUUACUGGGCGUAAAGGGUGCGUAGGUGGUCUUUCAAGUCGGUGGUUAAAGGCUACGGCUCAACCGUAGUUAGCCUCCGAAACUGGAAGACUUGAGUGCAGGAGAGGAAAGUGGAAUUCCCAGUGUAGCGGUGAAAUGCGUAGAUAUUGGGAGGAACACCAGUAGCGAAGGCGGCUUUCUGGACUGCAACUGACACUGAGGCACGAAAGCGUGGGUAGCAAACAGG
rnacentral:rRNA from 1 species